rnacentral:rRNA from 1 species
UACGUAGGCAGCAAGCGUUGUUCGGAGUUACUGGGCGUAAAGGGUGCGUAGGCGGCUCUUUAAGUUUGGUGUGAAAUCUCCCGGCUCAACUGGGAGGGUGCGCCGAAUACUGAGAGGCUAGAGUGUGGGAGAGGAAAGUGGAAUUCCUGGUGUAGCGGUGAAAUGCGUAGAUAUCAGGAGGGACACCGGUGGUGUAAACGGCUUUCUGGACCAUAACUGACGCUGAGGCACGAAAGCGUGGGUAGCAAACAGG